AGAUUAAUUACGAAACCAGAUUGCUUAUUUGCGCGUGUUAUGAAAGCAAAGUAUUUUUCACAUAUUGAUUUUAUAAAUGCGAGGUUAGGAUCUCACCCUUCGUUUACCUGGAGAAGUAUUUAGAGUGCGAGGAAACUUUUGGAGGAAGGAAUAGGAUGGAAAGUGGGGAACAGAAAGUCGAUCAACAUCUAGAAUGAAGCUUAGAUCCUGAGACUUGGGAAUGAAAAAGUAAGAGUUCAGCAUAUUAAUAUUAAUUUUAAAUCAGUAGCAGACCUCAUUUCUAAUCAUAUUACCUGGAGAAUUGAUGUGUUACGACAGCUUUUUGAUGAAGAGCAAAUUUCCAAAAUUCUGUCCAUCCCACUUGCUGUAGUGGAUAUUCACGAUGAAAGGGUGUGGUGGGGUGAUAAAAGAGGGGUAUAUUUCGCAAAAAGUAGAUACAAAUGGCUGUUACAGGCGGAUACGAUAAUAGGGCAAGGGGAGGGGAUACAUCAACCUACGCUACUACAGAAAUUUUACAAAAAAUUAUGGAGAUUAUAGGUUGCAAAAUCAAAAUUAUAUUUUGGAGAAUCGCCAAUAACUUCCUCCCUACUUUUAACAAUUUAAAAAAUAGAAAUUUACAGGUUGUGAAUCUUUGUCCUCUCUGCCGUACAAUGGAGCAAUCAGUGAGUCACGUCUUCUGAGAAUGCACAUACAUUAAAUGUGUCCUGCAAUGAGUGGGGAUUGAUGGCUCAUCCAGUAGCCCGGAAAAAAAUUAGAAUAUGUGGUUAGCAAAUUUAUUUUUGAAUAUGAAAGAAGGGCAGUGUAAAUGGUUAGUCAUGAAGUUCUGGGCAGUAUGGUAUCACAUAAACAAAGUUUAUCAUUAAGGAGAAAGGCAAUGCAAAACGAGAUUGAUAUCUUUUAUUAAGUCAUUUUACACAGAGAACAUUCAACUAGAAGUAGUGAUAGAAGUAGGUGUUCAACAAAAUGGCUGUGCAUGGACUCCACUAAGGAUAAGUGUGGUAAAAGGUAAUUUUGAUGCAGCGUAUAACAGUUAUAUGAUGACUUCAGUAACAGGAAUAAUUUUUAGAGAUUGCGAAGGACAUAUACUGGCAACAUGCACUUACCCUAAUACAUUUGUGGUUGAUGCAACCACGGCGGAGGCGAGAGCUUGUUUACAAAAGGUAGUAGUGGUUGAAGAUUUGGGAUUCAGAAAUCUGGAGGUUGAAAGGGACUCCUUGACAGUCAUAAAGAAAAUCCAAACAUUUGAAGAGGACAAAUCAAAUAUUGCUGUGAUUAUUAAAGAAAUAAAAGAAAAAGCUCGGAGGUUUGAAAGCUUUACUUGUCAAUUUACGGGCAGAUCAAUGAACCACGCGGCGCAUAUAAUGACGGAGGGAGGGAAACGAUGAGAUUCACCGAGGUUCUAGGCUGAAGAGGCACCUCCAAGAACGAAAUUGGCAGUUGAAGAAGAUAGAAGGUCCCUGUCAGAAAGGUGAAAUGAGUCGGAGAAAUAAGAAUAAAAGGAAUCCGAUGGUUUCAGUCUCUACACACAAUCCAUCGUGAACGAAAAAGGAGUAGGAUGUUUGAUGGUUUUGACAAUGGUUGUAGAGAAGUUGAUGAAGGAUGCCAGAGAAUUGAAUAAUUUUCUUUUUCAUUUAUGUUUUCUUUCUUCAUUUCAGAUUUGACGUUUGGGUUUUUUUUAAGUUUAGGCUUUAAUUGUAUUUGUGUAGGGGUUUUUUAAAGUAAAGUUUUUUUUUUUUUUUUUAAUUCUUGUAAAGCCUUAAUUUUCAUUUAUUAGGC
rnacentral:lncRNA from 1 species